CAACUUUUAACGGUGGAUCUUUUGGCUCGUGCAUCGAUGAAAACGUAGUCAGUUGCGAUAAGUAUUGUGAAUUCGCAGAAUUCAGGAAUCAUCGAAUCUUUGAACGCAAACUGCCCUUUCUGAUAUUCAGGGACAUGUCUGUCCUAACGUCGUUU
rnacentral:rRNA from 1 species